rnacentral:misc_RNA from 1 species
GAUGAAGAACGCAGCGAAAUGCGAUAAGUAAUGCGAAUUGCAGAAUCCGUGAGUCAUCGAAUCUUUGAACGCACAUUGCGCCCCUUGGUUAUUCCGAAGGGCAUGCCUGUUCGAGCGUCAUUUCAACCCUCAAGCCUCGCUUGGUGUUGGGCCCUGCCCGCCGCGGCCGGCCCUAAAGAUAGUGGCGGCGCCGCCUGGCCCUCAGCGUAGUACAGCUCUCGCUCCAGGGUCCGGCGGCAGCCUGCCAGAACCCCCCAACUCUGUGGUUGACCUCGGAUCAGGUAGGGAUACCCGCUGAACUUAAGCAUAUCAAUAAGCGGAGGA